UGGGGAAUUUUGGACAAUGGGCGCAAGCCUGAUCCAGCCAUUCCGCGUGAGUGAAGAAGGCCUUCGGGUUGUAAAGCUCUUUCGGCAGGGAAGAAACGGUCGUGGUUAAUACCCAUGGCUAAUGACGGUACCUGAAGAAGAAGCACCGGCUAACUACGUGCCAGCAGCCGCGGUAAUACGUAGGGUGCGAGCGUUAAUCGGAAUUACUGGGCGUAAAGCGUGCGCAGGCGGUUUUGUAAGACAGAUGUGAAAUCCCCGGGCUUAACCUGGGAACUGCAUUUGUGACUGCAUCGCUGGAGUGCGGCAGAGGGGGAUGGAAUUCCGCGUGUAGCAGUGAAAUGCGUAGAUAUGCGGAGGAACACCGAUGGCGAAGGCAAUCCCCUGGGCCUGCACUGACGCUCAUGCACGAAAGCGUGGGGAGCAAAC
rnacentral:rRNA from 1 species